rnacentral:lncRNA from 1 species
AUGCUUUUUACAUUUUUUUUUUUUUUUUUUUUUUUGGUACCAGGGAUCGAACUUGGGACCUUCUGCUUGCAAGGCAGGCACAGCGCCACUGAGCUACAUCCCCAGCCCUGCAAAUUUAUUUUAAAAGGGUGGGCUAGGUUCUACAUUUCAGACUUGGGGACCCACAGACCUGGCCAAGUGGCAUUUAUCUUGGCAACCAUGAAGAGACUUAAAAAGAGACACAGAGACUAUAGACAUCUUAACUUUGGUUUGACUUGAAAGGUGAUGGUUCUCAAAGGACGGGACCUAAUGUAUAUUCCUGUGUCUGCUUUAAAUCAGUCCGGAUGAGAGUGAACCUAUGCAGGAUCAAUGCCCCACCUCAGCCUGAAGCAGUUACAUGAAAACAGACUGUCAGGCCUUCUGCACCCCCUUAAAAAUAAGGGACCAAAGUGGGGCGAGUGAGGUAGAAGAAAUAAAAACUAGGUAGAAAAGUGACCAGGAAAUCAAGGUUUUAAAAAUUUACUAAAGUCUUAUCUACCUAUUUUCUUUCUCUUCUCUCAAAACGUAGUAAACCUGGGCAACUCCUUUUCAUCUACAAAGAGGUUUGCCCCUUCCCUUUUUACUUGCCAAUUGUCCUCUUUUACCUAUGAAUAGACCACCUUUUUAGGAUUUCUCAUAUGAAUGUGUUAUCAAAUAGCUUGCUUCUAAAAAGCAGCUUGGCACUGUGAGAAACUACAACCCUGUCUUUUCUAUCAAAGCAUAUAAACAAGAGUACCUCCAUGUUAGACUCUAGUCCACCCUAGAUGGCCCCUCCCAAAAACUCUGAAAUUAUGAGGAACACCUCAGAUUGAAUUCUGGAAAUACAGCCACAGACCAAGAUAGUUUAUCAAUAGCCAAGGACUUUGUACCUUUCCUUUUCCCUCCCACUCUUCCUUCCCCUCAGCAAAGCUUUGCCUCCUUCCUUCACAAUGCUUAAAUAGCCAACCUCAAUAGAUUGUAAGCCUUUGAAUUUAGCCAAUGAAUUUAAAGGAUAGCUGUUUUCCAAGUGUGAGGGUUUAAACCUUAAACCAGCCCCUUUUCCUCAAUGCUGGGUGCACCUCCUACCUCACAUCUGCGUGUACUUGUGCCCUACUGCAGAAGUAAACUUUUAACUUUGCCUUGUCCAGUUCUCUUGCUUGCAAUCUGAAUGCAUUUUUUUCUAGCACCAACAAUUUGAGUCUGGGGGCUCAUUUUAAACACCAACUAAAUGUUGGAUUUCAUGUUCUCAUCUCAAAGAAUUGAAGUAAAUGAGCAAAACGCAGUGCCAAAAUUUACUUGAGAAAGUAAAAGUAAAGAGUAGGAGAGAAACUGACUCUGCAGAGUGAGCUUGGGCUGAGAAAAUAGAAAAAGAGGCUAAGAACAAAGAUAAAAAUACACACCUCACCAGGCGUGGUGGUGAACACCUGUAACCCCGUCACUUAGACUCAGGCAGUCAGAUCACUGUUUGAGUUUGAGGCUGAUAUAGAUUACAUAAUGAGUUCAAGGCCAGGCUGAACUACAAAGUGAGACGUCUCAAAAGAAAAGUACGUGGUGCAUCUGGAAAACACAUGGGCUAUUGUGGAAAGCUACGGUAGCACCAGCUCCUUAUGGCUGCCUUUCUUUUAUAUUGUCCAAAUCUCAAGGAAACUUCUACAUCCAGGUCCUGAGAGGUAUUGCUGGGAUCCCAUUCCUCAGCCAGUGUCAGGUCUAGACCAUCCUAGUUCUCUGGAGAAGGCCACGUGCAGGGUUUUGGGAACUGUUCUGGGAUAUUUUUAAAUUUUUUUUUUUUGUACUGAGGAUCAAACUCAGGACCUUGUACUUGCAAGACAGGCACGGUGCCACUGAGUUAAUUCCCUGGCCCUUCAGGAUCUUGUAGUUAACAGGUCAGGCCAACUUCUCUGGCCAGCUUUUGACAUGCCCUAAUCUAUCUCAAAUACACCAUUGUCUCACUAUAGGAUAAAAAAACCCCAAAACAUAGUGGGUGUCUUUUGGUACCAGGGAUCGAAUUUGGGACCUUGUGCUUACAAGGCAGGCAGCAGAACCACUGAGCUAAAUCCCCGGCCCUCGUUGGAGUUUUUUUUUGGUACCUGGGAUCGAGCUCAGGACCUUGCACUUGCAGGGCAGGUGUGGUGCCACUGAG